GGGCGGGCUCUGUGCGACGAGAUGCCGCGAACCAUGUCAGGCGGGGAACCGAGCAGCAUUAAACGGAUUAUUUUGUGCGAUGCAGGUUGUCUGUCCGUC
rnacentral:SRP_RNA from 1 species